rnacentral:rRNA from 1 species
UUCUUUGGAGAGUUUGAUCCUGGCUCAGGACGAACGCUGGCGGCGUGCCUAAUACAUGCAAGUCGAGCGGACCGGAUCGGGGCUUGCCUUGAUUCGGUCAGCGGCGGACGGGUGAGUAACACGUGGGCAACCUGCCCGCAAGACCGGGAUAACUCCGGGAAACCGGAGCUAAUACCGGAUAACACCGAAGACCGCAUGGUCUUCGGUUGAAAGGCGGCCUUUGGGCUGUCACUUGCGGAUGGGCCCGCGGCGCAUUAGCUAGUUGGUGAGGUAACGGCUCACCAAGGCGACGAUGCGUAGCCGGCCUGAGAGGGUGACCGGCCACACUGGGACUGAGACACGGCCCAGACUCCUACGGGAGGCMGCMGUAGGGAAUCUUCCGCAAUGGGCGAAAGCCUGACGGAGCGACGC